rnacentral:rRNA from 1 species
AUUGAACGCUGGCGGCAUGCCUUACACAUGCAAGUCGAACGGCAGCACGGGAGCAAUCCUGGUGGCGAGUGGCGAACGGGUGAGUAAUAUAUCGGAACGUGCCCGGUCGUGGGGAUAACGUAGCGAAAGCUACGCUAAUACCGCAUACGAUCUACGGAUGAAAGCGGGGGGAUCGCAAGACCUCGCGCGAUUGGAGCGGCCGAUAUCAGAUUAGGUAGUUGGUGAGGUAAAGGCUCACCAAGCCGACGAUCUGUAGCUGGUCUGAGAGGACGACCAGCCACACUGGGACUGAGACCACGGCCCAGACUCCUACGGGAGGCAGCAGUGGGAAUUUUGGACAAUGGGCGCAAGCCUGAUCCAGCAAUGCCGCGUGCAGGAUGAAGGGCCCUUCGGGUUC